rnacentral:rRNA from 1 species
CGUAGGGUGCGAGCGUUAAUCGGAAUUACUGGGCGUAAAGCGUGCGCAGGCGGUUUUGUAAGACAGGCGUGAAAUCCCCGGGCUCAACCUGGGAACUGCGCUUGUGACUGCAAGGCUAGAGUACGGCAGAGGAGGGUGGAAUUCCACGUGUAGCAGUGAAAUGCGUAGAUAUGUGGAGGAACACCGAUGGCGAAGGCAGCCCCCUGGGUUAACACUGACGCUCAUGCACGAAAGCGUGGGGAGCAAACAGGAUUAGAUACCCUGGUAGUCCACGCCCUAAACGAUGUCAACUGGUUGUCGGGGGAUGAAUUCCCUUGGUAACGAAGCUAACGCGUGAAGUUGACCGCCUGGGGAGUACGGCCGCAAGGUUA